GACGGAGGCGGCAAGCGUUAUCCGGAAUGAUUGGGCGUAAAGCGUUCGCAGGUGGCUGUUCAAGUCUGCUGUCAAAGACCGGGGCUUAACCCUAGAAAGGCAGUGGAAACUGAACGGCUGGAGUGCAGUAGGGGUAGAGGGAAUUCCCAGUGUAGCGGUGAAAUGCGCAGAGCUUGGGAAGAACACCGGUGGCGAAAGCGCUCUGCUGGACUGCAACUGACCCUGAGGGACGAAAGCUAGGGGAGCGAAAGGG
rnacentral:rRNA from 1 species